UACGUAGGGUGCAAGCGUUGUCCGGAAUUAUUGGGCGUAAAGGGUGCGUAGGUGGCGGGGCAAGUCAGGUGUGAAAUCUCGGGGCUCAACCCCGAAACUGCACUUGAUACUAUUUGUCUUGAAUACUUUGGAGGUAAGCGGAAUAUGUCAUGUAGCGGUGAAAUGCUUAGAUAUGACAUAGAACACCAAUUGCGCAGGCAGCUUACUACACAGUAAUUGACACUGAGGCACGAAAGCGUGGGGAUCAAACAGG
rnacentral:rRNA from 1 species